UGCCUUUCUCGUCUCUCUUAC
rnacentral:piRNA from 1 species